rnacentral:rRNA from 1 species
CAGGGAUUGCCUCAGUAACGGCGAGUGAAGCGGCAACAGCUCAAAUUUUAAAGCUGGCGUCCUCGACGCCCGCGUUGUAAUUUGGAGAGGCAUCUUCGGUUUGGGCGCCAGCCUAUGUUCCUUGGAACAGGACGUCACAGAGGGUGAGAAUCCCGUGCUUGGCUGGCUGUCCCUCUCCAUGUGAAGUGUCUUCGACGAGUCGAGUUGUUUGGGAAUGCAGCUCAAAAUGGGUGGUAAAUUUCAUCUAAAGCUAAAUAUUGGCGGGAGACCGAUAGCGCACAAGUAGAGUGAUCGAAAGAUGAAAAGCACUUUGAAAAUAGAGUUAAAAAGUACGUGAAAUUGUUGAAAGGGAAGCGCUUGAGACCAGACUCGGCCGACGGCGAUCAGCGGCCCUUCUGGGCUGUGCACUCGUCAUCGGUUCGGGCCAGCAUCGGUCGAGACGGCGGGAUAAAGGCCCGAGGAAUGUGGCUCCUCUCGGGGAGUGUUAUAGCCUCGGGUGCAAUGCCGCCAGCCUCGACCGAGGACCGCGCUCUUUUGCUAGGAUGCUGGCGUAAUGGUCUUCAGCGACCCGUCUUGAAACACGGACCAAGGAGUCUAACAUCUAUGCGAGUGUUUGGGUGUCAAACCCUUGCGCGUAAUGAAAGUGAACGGAGGUGGGAACCCCUCCUCUGGGGGGGCGCACCAUCGACCGAUCCUGAUGUCUUCGGAUGGAUUUGAGUAGGAGCAUAGCUG